rnacentral:rRNA from 1 species
GACGAACGCUGGCGGCGUGCCUAAUACAUGCAAGUCGAACGAGAGCGACCGGUGCUUGCACUGGUCAAUCUAGUGGCGAACGGGUGAGUAACACGUGGGUAACCUGCCCAUCAGAGGGGGAUAACAUCCGGAAACGGAUGCUAAAACCGCAUAGGUCUUCGAGCCGCAUGGCUUGAAGAGGAAAAGAGGCGCAAGCUUCUGCUGAUGGUUGGACCCGCGGUGCAUUAGCUAGUUGGUGAGGUAACGGCUCACCAAGGCCGUGAUGCAUAGCCGACCUGAGAGGGUGAUCGGCCACAUUGGGACUGAGACACGGCCCAAACUCCUACGGGAGGCAGCAGUAGGGAAUCUUCCGCAAUGGACGCAAGUCUGACGGAGCAACGCCGCGUGAGUGAAGAAGGUUUUCGGAUCGUAAAACUCUGUUGUUAGAGAAGAACAAGUGCUAGAGUAACUGUUAGCGCCUUGACGGUAUCUAACCAGAAAGCCACGGCUAACUACGUG